GGCCGCGCAGCCUAGGACGAGGUGAACUUGGUGACGGCCUUGGUGCCCUCAGAGACGGCGUGCUUCGCGAGCUCCCCGGGGAGGACGAGGCGGACGGAGGUCUGGAUCUCGCGGGAGGUGAUGGUGGGCUUCUUGUUGUACCGCGCGAGCUUGGCGGCCUCGGCGGCGAGCUUCUCGAAGAUGUCGUUGAUGAAGGAGUUCAUGAUGGACAUGGCCUUGGAGGAGAUGCCGAUGUCCGGGUGCACCUGCUUCAGCACCUUGAAGAUGUAGAUCUUGUACGUCUCCACGCUCUUCUUGCCCUUCUUCCGGCCCCGCUUGCCCU
rnacentral:lncRNA from 1 species